rnacentral:rRNA from 1 species
GAUGAACGCUGACAGAAUGCUUAACACAUGCAAGUCAACUUGAACUUCGGUUUGGGUGGCGGACGGGUGAGUAACGCGUAAAGAACUUGCCUCACAGAUAGGGACAACAUUUGGAAACGAAUGCUAAUACCUGAUAUUAUGAUUUUAGGGCAUCCUAGGAUUAUGAAAGCUAUAUGCGCUGUGAGAGAGCUUUGCGUCCCAUUAGCUAGUUGGAGAGGUAACGGCUCACCAAGGCGAUGAUGGGUAGCCGGCCUGAGAGGGUGAUCGGCCACAAGGGGACUGAGAACCGGCCCUUACUCCUUCGGGAGGCAGCCGUGGGGAAUAUUGGACAAUGGACCAAGAGGUUGAUCCAGCAAUUCUGUGUGCAAGAUGAAGUUUUUCGGAAUGUAAAGUGCUUUCAGUUGGGAAGAAAAAAAUGACGGUACCAACAGAAGAAGUGACGGCUAAAUACGUG